GCCGAUGUGGCGGAAUUGGCAGACGCGCUAGACUCAAAAUCUUGUGGCCUAACGGCCGUGUGGGUUCGACCCCCUCCAUCGGUACCA
rnacentral:tRNA from 1 species